rnacentral:rRNA from 1 species
GAUGAACGCUGGCGGCGUGCCUAAUACAUGCAAGUCGGGCGAACAGACGAGGAGCUUGCUCCUCUGACGUUAGCGGCGGACGGGUGAGUAACACGUGGAUAACCUACCUAUAAGACUGGGAUAACUUCGGGAAACCGGAGCUAAUACCGGAUAAUAUAUUGAACCGCAUGGUUCAAUAGUGAAAGACGGUUUUGCUGUCACUUAUAGAUGGAUCCGCGCCGCAUUAGCUAGUUGGUAAGGUAACGGCUUACCAAGGCAACGAUGCGUAGCCGACCUGAGAGGGUGAUCGGCCACACUGGAACUGAGACACGGUCCAGACUCCUACGGGAGGCAGCAGUAGGGAAUCUUCCGCAAUGGGCAAAAGCCUGACGGAGCAACGCCGCGUGAGUGAUGAAGGUCUUCGGAUCGUAAAACUCUGUUAUUAGGGAAGAACAAAUGUGUAAGUAACUAUGCACGUCUUGACGGUACCUAAUCAGAAAGCCACGGCUAACUACGUG